AAAACCAACUAUGAUGAUAAACAAGUAAAAUAGCAACCACACAAAACCUCUGUGGAGAAGAGAGAAAACGGGAUCAAGGAAGACCACACAGAAAAUUUCAAAGAAGAGAAGAAUUUCCCAAGGGGAGAAAAGACAAGAAACCAGACUUCCCUUUCAAAGAGUUAGCUUCACACAGACUAGAGUCACGAAGAAAUGGGAUUGAAAGUGAAAUGCAUCUUUGACAAACGGGAAGGGAAAGAGCAAGGGAGCAAGGCUGCUCUGUGUCUGGGAAAAUGAGGAAUGGGAAAACAUUGCCUAAGUGUUUUAUCGAACAAAACUUCUUCCCCUGCAUAACUAAAAUAUGACAACACACUUUCAGAUGGUCUCUGCUUUACUACAAACCACCUGGAUACUCUACUCACUAUCCUAAAUGCAUUUAACAUCACAAUGCAUUAGCAAGUAAUGAUGUUCUAAUGAGAUUUUAUAUAGAAAGAGAAUAGGAAGAUUUCAUUAUGUACCCAAGUGAAAACAUAAUAUGUGUCUUCCAGAUUAUGGUGGUUUUUUUGUUUCAAGUUCACCAGCCAUCUCAUUUCUCCUUCUUCCUCCGUCAUGUGUAAUCUAAAAUUGUUUCUCUGGUUCUGAAUAAUUCAGCUCUGAUCUCACCUUAUAUUCUCCAAUCAAGUGAUAGAUAGGCUCAUCAAUUGUCACUUCAUCUGGGAGCAUCAAUGGUCACUUAAGAGUGGCUGUUGGAUCUCUGAUAUCCUACUCUAGAAGGCUUAGCAAAAUUUCUGUUUAACAGAAAUAGCUUGUUCCUGUAUGGGG